UUUUAAAUUUUAUAAAAAAUUUUUUGAAAAGAGAUUUUUUUAAUAAAGGUUUAUAUAUAAUGGUAUAAUUAUUUUGAUAGUAAAUUUUAAAUUACUGUGAAGGAGGGUUAUGAAAAUAAUGAAAUAUUUAAAAGUUUUAAAAGUAUGAGAUUUGAGUACCUUUUGCAUUAGGGUUUUUUAAAAAAAUUAAUGGUUUUUAAUUUCCCGAAGUCAAAUGAUCUACUGAAAUAUUUAUUUUUAUGUUGAAUUAUAAGGAUUAAUUUUUUAGUAGUAAUGAAAUUUUUUUCAAAUUUGAGGUUAUCUGGUUAUUAUAAUGAGAUUAUAUGUCUGAUUAUUAAGAAUAUAUUUAUGUAGAAAAUAUUUAUAAUAAUUUAUAUUUGCAGGGAUAAGCUUGUAAAUUGGUUUUAAAUUUAUUAAAAUUUAGAAUUAAGGAUUAGAAUUUUCUUAAUCUUAUAAUAAAGGAUUUUUAAAAAUAAAAAAGUUUAAUAAAAUUUAGUUAAUGAUUAAAAUAAUUUUUUAUUAAUGAAAAUAUGAAGAAAUUAGUAAAAGUUAAUUUUUAUUCUAGAGAUUAAAAAAGAGUAAUUAAUUUGGGAAGUUAAACUAAAGGAACUCGGCAAAUUAAAUUUUUUAGUCGUCUGUUUAUCAAAAACAUUUCAUUUUGGAGUAAUAAAAUGUAUAAUCUGCUCAAUGAGAUUUAAAUUGCUGUGGUAUUUUGACUAUACGAAGGUAUUGAAAUAAGGCUUUAAAUGAGUGCUAAGAGAAUGGUUGAACGAUUAAAGGCUUUCUUUAGUUAAUAAAUUGAAGUUAAUGUUUUUGUGAAGAAGCAAAAAUGAUAAUUAGGGACAAGAAGACCCUAUGAAUUUUUAAAUCAAGAUAUUGUUUAUUUUAAAUAUUUUGAUUUUAAUUGGGGUGAUAGGAAAAGAAUGAUUAUCUUUUCUUUAUGAGUUAAUUUGACCCAUUAGUAAUGAUUAAAUGAUUAAAAUACUCUAGGGAUAACAGCGUAAUAAUUUCGGAUAGUUCUUAUAGAUGAAAUAGUUUGCGACCUCGAUGUUGGAUUAGGAUACUUUUUUGGUGGAGAAAUUAAUAUAAAGAAGUUUGUUCAACUUUUAAAAUCCUACAUGAUCUGAGUUCAGACCGGCGUGAGCCAGGUUGGUUUCUAUCUUAAUAUAAAAGUAUAAUUUUUUUAGUACGAAAGGAAUGAGAAAUAUUAAUUUUAGUUAAUUAAAGUGAUUAUUAAUGAAAAUUAGACUAGUUUGGCAGAAAAAU
rnacentral:rRNA from 1 species